GGUAAAAUGGCUGAAAUAUAGGCGAUAGAUUGUAAAUCUAUUCAUGGUUUUAAAGACCUUUUACCA
rnacentral:tRNA from 1 species